AUGCCCAUUGUAGGACCCAGCAGUAACCUGGCCUGGCCGUUCUUGCCCCAGUAUGAGCCCUGCUGGGGGACGAGGCCUCGGAGGAGCCUGCGGGCUGGGGGCGCCUGCCCCGCGCCCCAUGCGCCUGCCUCGGCCUGGCUGCAGCAGUCUCAGGGUGCUCCCAGAGAGGUGAGGCAGCGCGCUCCUGGGGAGGCGAGGCGGCCUGCUCCCGGGGAGGCGAGGCAGCCCGCUUCCGGGGAGGUGAGGCGGCCCACUCCCAGAGAGGCGAGGCGGCCUGCUCCCGGAGAGGUGAGGCAGCGCGCUCCUGGGGAGGCGAGGUGGCCUGCUCCCGGGGAGGCGAGGCAGCCCGCUUCCGGGGAGGUGAGGCGGCCUGCUCCCAGAGAGGAGAGGCGGCCCGCUCCCGGGGAGGCGAGGUGGCCCACUCCCAGAGAGGCAAGGCGGCCCGCUCCCGGGGAGGUGAGGCAGCCUGCUCCCGGGGAGGCGAGGCAGCCUGCUCCCGGGGAGGUGAGGCAGCCCGCUCCCGGGGAGGUGAGGCAGCCUGCUCCUGGGGAGGCAAGGCAGCCCGCUCCCGGGGAGGUGAGGCGGCCCGCUCCCAGAGAGGCGAGGCGGCCCGCUCCCAGAGAGGCGAGGCGGCCUGCUCCCGGGGAGGUGAGGCAGCCCGCUGCCGGGGAGGCGAGGCGGCCCGCUCCCAGGGAGGCGAGGCGGCCCACUCCUGGAGAGGUGAGGCAGCCCGCUGCCGGGGAGGCGAGGCGGCCCGCUCCUGGAGAGGUGAGGCAGGCCGCUGCCAGGGAGGCGAGGCGGCCUGCUCCCGGGCAGGCGAGGCGGCCCGCUCCUGGAGAGGCAAGGCGGCCUGCUCCCAGUUGGGCGAGGUGGCAGGGCCGGGCUCAGCCCUGUGGUGCCCUGUGGUCCAUGACAGGCCCAGCGAGGGAGCAGCCCCUCUCCAGCCACCUCCUCAGUACAGUGACAACUUCUGGUUUCCUUUGGCAGAUCUGCUUCGAGGACUGGGACUGA
rnacentral:lncRNA from 1 species